GACGAACGCUGGCGGCGUGCUUAACACAUGCAAGUGGAGCGACGAACCGGGCUUCGGCCCGGGGCAAAGCCGCGAACGGGUGAGUAACACGUGGGUAACCCACCCCGAUGAUUGGGACAACCCCGGGAAACCGGGGCUAAUACCAAAUGUGCUCGCUGCUCACGAGGGCAACGAGUAAAGAUAGCUUCGGCCUUCGCAUCGGGACGGGCCCGCGGCCCAUUAGCUUGUUGGUGAGGUAACGGCUCACCAAGGCUGCGAUGGGUAGCUGGUCUGAGAGGACGAUCAGCCACACUGGGACUGAGACACGGCCCAGACUCCUACGGGAGGCAGCAGUGGGGAAUCUUGCGCAAUGCGCGAAAGCGUGACGCAGCAACGCCGCGUGGGGGAAGAAGGCCUUCGGGUUGUAAACCCCUUUCAGUUGGGACGAAGCCUCGGCGGUGAAUAGCCGUUCGGGGUGACGGUACCUUCACAAGAAGCCCCGGCUAACUACGUGCCAGCCGCCGCCGUAAAAC
rnacentral:rRNA from 1 species